CGAAUGCUGACAUAAGUAACGAUAAAGCGGGUGAAAAGCCCGCUCGCCGGAAGACCAAGGGUUCCUGUCCAACGUUAAUCGGGGCAGGGUGAGUCGACCCCUAAGGCGAGGCCGAAAGGCGUAGUCGAUGGGAAACAGGUUAAUAUUCCUGUACUUGGUGUUACUGCGAAGGGGGGACGGAGAAGGCUAUGUUGGCCGGGCGACGGUUGUCCCGGUUUAAGCGUGUAGGCUGGUUUUCCAGGCAAAUCCGGAAAAUCAAGGCUGAGGCGUGAUGACGAGGCACUACGGUGCUGAAGCAACAAAUGCCCUGCUUCCAGGAAAAGCCUCUAAGCAUCAGGUAACAUCAAAUCGUACCCCAAACCGACACAGGUGGUCAGGUAGAGAAUACCAAGGCGCUUGAGAGAACUCGGGUGAAGGAACUAGGCAAAAUGGUGCCGUAACUUCGGGAGAAGGCACGCUGAUACGUAGGUGAAGCGACUUGCUCGUGGAGCUGAAAUCAGUCGAAGAUACCAGCUGGCUGCAACUGUUUAUUAAAAACACAGCACUGUGCAAACACGAAA
rnacentral:rRNA from 1 species